CAGCAUAGAAGUCGAGAUCGGUGAGCAUCAGUUGGAUCAACUGGAGGCGGCCUUCCGCAGCGGUCUCGCUCUCGCGCGGCAAGACGCCAGCGCGCUAGACAAGGACAGCCUGAGGGUAUUUUGCAACUCUUGCAGAAACAUGCUCCAAGAAGCGUGCACAAAGUUCUCCCAACUGUCCGAACUAUUGGAGCUGUGCAAGAGCAAAAUGCCGAACGAAUGAAACCAUCAGUACAGUCGCGGCCACGAGGCUAUAUCAUAAGGUAACCGAGCUUGACUACUUAUAUCAUCAAACGGUAUGUGCUUGUUUACUCGAUUAAUAAGUGUCGUAUAAAAAUUAAGCUCAAUUUGUAACGGUACAGGCAGCCUUGAGAACUGGGUGUUGUUUGGAAAAUAUGAAAGUCUCAAUGAGGGUUUUCGCGUAUGAAAGAUCCGCUAGAUGGCGGGACGUGGAUGUGGGGUCUGACUGCUGCGUAAUUGGUGGAUUUUGACAUAUCUGUCAAUGUCAUGUCAAAAAUAACCAAUCAUGCAGCAUUUGGACCUUGCAUUAACGUAUUGCCAUCUGGCGGAUUUUUCAAACGCGAAAACCCUCAUUAAUUGUGUAAUAGUACAACCCGAUCGAGUUAAAUGCGCAUCUGGCUUCCGUGACGUCACGUCGACGCUCGACUUUGGUACGGACGGGGGGAGAUAUACGGGUGAGUGGGAGGGAGAGUCGCAAUCCAGCGAGGUACGCAGCUAGCUCAAUAGGGCCAUUCUUAAAUGACACUCAAACUCUGUUAUAAUUAUUAUUAAGUUUAAAUUCUCAAACUCGAGUUUUUCUAACAAGUUAAUUAAGUUUUUUUUUAAUGUUGAUUUAUGUGUGCCUUUCGUGUUAGGUUGCACUUACUGUGCGAAGUAACCAGUACAAACAUCUAUUUAUGAGUUUGUGGUGUACAAUGGUCUAUCCAUUAAUAAUCUUAUUUCUCAUCUACUCAAGAUACAACCUAGCUGGCGACCAGAUUUCUUAUAUUCUCCACUCUUUAGAAUAAAUUCAAGCAAUCACUACAUUAAUCACAGUCUUGAAUAUAAGCUAAAACAAUUUUGAGUGUCGUUUAUAAUACGACCCUAUCAAGAGUAGUCGUGGUUUAGAUUUUGUGUAAAAAUAUAUGAAAUUGUUCCUUUUUGUUGUGCAAUAUUUCUUAGGAAAUAUUCCUUAUU